CGCUGGAGCUCCUUCUUGGCCUUGAAGAUGGACAGACCGCAUGAAGACUCAGAAAUGUCACCAUUUUGGCUGUAUGAAGAGAGGCAUUCAUGCUGUGUGCUGGGCAGCAUCUCUCUUCUCGUAGGUUGUCCAUCCAAUCUAAGUGUCUGAGGCUUUGCACCAAGCCUGCUUGUGUUUGUAGGCACACAACAGAAAGCGUGUCUUGAGACAACAG
rnacentral:lncRNA from 1 species